GUGAUUAUGAAGAUCAGUUUUGGAGUUUUUGUCUUGGUCAUGAUGAUUUAUUCAGUCGGGCAAGUACGGGCCGAAGAUGAGAAUAAAGUAGACUUCCUUGAAAAUAGGAAAAUAGCAGUAACAAAAGGUCGUCUUUGGAAUCAAGAAAUCAUUCCUUUCAAAAUAAGCACAGAUGUAAGUAGUACAAAUCGCUUGUUUAUUAUAACUUCAAUGAGAAUCUGGGAGAGCACUUAAUUUGUGUUAAAUUUGUGAAUUAUGACGAAAAUCAACAUUCAAGUUAUUUGUCUUUCAUUAAAUCAAAAAAAUGCAACAGCCGAUUGGGAAAAUAUCAAGAGGGACUUAAUGUUAUACGUAUAAGCGAGAAGUGUAGCUAUUUAAGUACUAUGCGUGAAAUAGGCCACGCUUUAGGUUUUUCUUUUAGCGAUGAACCAGAAUAUAAAAAACUUGAGAACAGAUCAGAA